GGAUGAACGCUGGCGGCGUGCCUAAUCCAUGCAAGUCGAGCGAACGGACGAGAAGCUUGCUUCUCUGAUGUUAGCGGCGGACGGGUGAGUAACACGUGGAUAACCUACCUAUAAGACUGGGAUAACUUCGGGAAACCGGAGCUAAUACCGGAUGAUAUUUUGAACCGCAUGGUUCAAAAGUGAAAGACGGUCUUGCUGUCACUUAUAGAUGGAUCCGCGCUGCAUUAGCUAGUUGGUAAGGUAACGGCUUACCAAGGCAACGAUGCAUAGCCGACCUGAGAGGGUGAUCGGCCACACUGGAACUGAGACACGGUCCAGACUCCUACGGGAGGCAGCAGUAGGGAAUCUUCCGCAAUGGGCGAAAGCCUGACGGAGCAACGCCGCGUGAGUGAUGAAGGUCUUCGGAUCGUAAAACUCUGUUAUUAGGGAAGAACAUAUGUGUAAGUAACUGUGCACAUCUUGACGGUACCUAAUCAGAAAGCCACGGCUAACUACGUG
rnacentral:rRNA from 1 species